rnacentral:lncRNA from 1 species
UUUUUUUUGGUAAUUUCAGAUUGAUUGUGUUUGUACUUCCUGUUAUUGCCAUAUGGGACAGAGAACCUACAGAUUGCGCCUCUAAUGAUUUACUUCAACAGGCGUGUUCCUGUGUGGCGGGUUUCGAUUCCCGCUGGGGCCACCCAUAGAACUUUCUUCACAUCCCGGUAUUGGGCCUUGGCUCUCUCCAGCAUGCCUGACUGGUCUACACCAGGCCUAGGGACGCUGUCGGAAAAGGCAAAACGAGAGGCUGAUCUAGCAGAGCACCUAUUUUCCUGAUCUCUUCAGCCAUGAGGACGGUGGAGGACGGUGGAGGACGGUAGGCUGCUUCAACUGUUACACAAAGGAAGGAGCUCCGGGACCGACCUCUGGACUAGAGACCUCGUGGAGGGUGGGAAUGAUUGUCCUGAAGCGACCUACUCCAGGCAGCUCUGGUGGUUGUUCCCACUAUCUCUAGACCACUCCAGAAGCAAAACCCAAACAGGAAGUACCAGUGAUGCACUCAAUACAGAAGUGGUCCAAUGAAGCGGAUGCUAAGCUACAGGACUGUUUCUCUAGCACAGACUGGAAUAUAUUCCGGGAUUCAUCCGAUUGGCAUUGAGGAGUUUACCAACAUCAGUCACCGGCUUCAUUAAUGAGUGCAUUGACGACGUCGUCCCCACAGUGACCAGGUGGACCUCAUCAAACCCUUCACGAAAUCCAGGAAUGGCAACAGCUGUUAUCUGACAGCGACCGAUCACUUUACCAAGUGGAUGGAGGCAAUACCCAUUUAAGGCGUGUCAUGCGUCCUCAGAAACUUGACCCGCCGAACCGUGCUCCUUAACACCACCCGCUUAACCCAGAUGCCAGCUGCACCAAUGUGUCAGACCAAACACCGUUCAGCUGACGACCAAAGUGAACCUGCAGGCGCCCGGCCCACCACAAGGAGUCCCUAGAGCACGAUGAGCCAAGUAAAGCCCCCCCCUGAGCCGGACGACGCUGGGCCAAUUGUGCGCCGCCCUAUGGGACACAGCCUGGGAUCGAACCUGGGACAAGACUGGCGAGGCUACCUCCAUCUUCAACACCCACAGUUCUCCUGAGGUCAUCUUGAGUGACUGAGGUUGUGAACUCUGGAACAAGGUACGGAUGUUAUAGGUCAUAUUCUGUCACCAAUGGGUUUUUUUUUUGGGGGGGGUUUUUUACAAUUUGUUUUAGUUUUUGCUUGUUACAUAAUAAGACAUAUUUUCAUAUAUUCCAUUGUCAAUAGAUAUCCCUUUCCUACCCCCUCAGGUCCUUCAGGUUUGGAUGAAUGGACCAACCAGAACCUCAAGACUGCCAUGGACAAGUUCGUUGACGGGUACCAGGAAAGGUGGGAGGACAACCUGAAGGUAAUUCUCUUUGCUCACAACAGCAGCGUCCAGGCCUCCACUGAGUACUCACCCUAUCGCCUGCUGUACUGACGGGAGCCACAGCUGUUGACUGAGGUAAACAAUGCAAUUGUAUAUACAAUUAUUACAUAUACUGUAGUCUUUCAAAUGUGUGAUUGACUUAGUGUUGUUGGUUGUCUAUUAGUGUUGUUGGUUGUCUAGUAGUGUUGUUGGUUGUCUAGUAGUGUUUGUCUAGUAGUGUUGUUGGUUGUCUAGUAGUGUUGUUGGUUGUCUAGUAGUGUUGUUGGUUGUCUAGUAGUGUUGUUGGUUGUCUAGUAGUGUUGUUGGUUGUCUAGUAGUGUUGUAUACCAACGGACGCUAAUAGUUUAUCGAAUCCAAUUGUGACGCGGGGGGGGGGCACUUUAGCUGGGGACAUUAUUUGGCAUGACAGGCCCCAUUGGGAAUUUAGCCAGAACACCAGGGUUAAGACUGUAAAACCCCUAGUCCUGAGAUAAAUGACGAUUAUGGUCUGCAGAGAUGUGGAGAGUCUCAUAGUAUUUCACAAACUUCUCUGUCGACAGUUCUAAUCUGAUUAAGGAUUCAUUGUUCAUUGUGCUGUUGUCAUGCUUGUCAUCACUUCACAAAGGCUGCGUUUUAUGUCAUGAUGGUGAAAAACAUUCCAGGAUGAUUCCCAAGCAAUUGACAUGAAACACUAUUUUGGCUUGUAGUGUAAAUAUUUGGUAGAUUGCUUUCUCCAUGACUGUUUAGAUUACUGUUACUAAAUUUAAACUUUGACUUCAAUAUGCCAACUUUGGUUGCACCGCACAUGGUCUGCACUGCACAUGGUCCCCACUGUUGUUGAAGUACCACGCGUUUCUGUCUCAAUGGCCUUUGACUUGGUAGCACUUUUUCCAGGUGGGAACAGACUCUGGACUCUUUUUUUUAACAGGAGAACAGAGCUGGUGGGGAGUUAAAGUAACCAUAGCACCAGUUAACAUCUGCAGUGGUGUUUGUUUGCCAGAUUGUGCCUUUUUAUGAGGGGCGACGUGCUCAUUGCUAAAUGGGCCCAUAUGUGUUCCAUGUCAAACAACAG